rnacentral:tRNA from 2 species
CGGGCUGUAGCGCAGCUUGGUAGCGCACCUGCCUGGGGGGCAGGGGGUCGCAGGUUCAAAUCCUGUCAGCCCGACCA